AGCUCCAAUAGCGUAUAUUAAAGUUGCUGCAGUUAAAAAGCUCGUAGUUGCAUUUCCGAGGCAAGGGAUUAGUCCGACCUUUGGUGGGUAUUUAAUCCUCUUGCCUCGUCCUUGAGUGGUGCUUCUUGGUAUUAAGUUAUCGAGGAGAUAGCCGCUCAUCGUUUACUGUGAGAAAAUUAGAGUGUUCAAAGCAGGCUUAUGCCGUUGAAUAUAUUAGCAUGGAAUAAUAAGAUAGGACCUCGGUACUAUUUUGUUGGUUUGAGAACCAAGGUAAUGAUGAAUAGGGACAGUUGGGGGUAUUCGUAUUCAGUUGUCAGAGGUGAAAUUCUUAGAUUUACGGAAGACGAACUCAUGCGAAAGCAUUUACCAAGGAUGUUUUCA
rnacentral:rRNA from 1 species